GCUCAGGAUGAACGCUGGCGGCGUGCCUAAUACAUGCAAGUCGAGCGAACGGAUAAGGAGCUUGCUCCUUUGAAGUUAGCGGCGGACGGGUGAGUAACACGUGGGUAACCUACCUAUAAGACUGGAAUAACUUCGGGAAACCGGAGCUAAUGCCGGAUAACAUAUAGAACCGCAUGGUUCUAUAGUGAAAGAUGGUUUUGCUAUCACUUAUAGAUGGACCCGCGCCGUAUUAGCUAGUUGGUAAGGUAAUGGCUUACCAAGGCGACGAUACGUAGCCGACCUGAGAGGGUGAUCGGCCACACUGGAACUGAGACACGGUCCAGACUCCUACGGGAGGCAGCAGUAGGGAAUCUUCCGCAAUGGGCGAAAGCCUGACGGAGCAACGCCGCGUGAGUGAUGAAGGUUUUCGGAUCGUAAAACUCUGUUAUUAGGGAAGAACAAAUGCGUAAGUAACUGUGCGCAUCUUGACGGUACCUAAUCAGAAAGCCACGGCUAACUACGUGCCAGCAGCCGCGGUAAUACGUAGGUGGCAAGCGUUAUCCGGAAUUAUUGGGCGUAAAGCGCGCGUAGGCGGUUUCUUAAGUCUGAUGUGAAAGCCCACGGCUCAACCGUGGAGGGUCAUUGGAAACUGGGAAACUUGAGUGCAGAAGAGGAAAGUGGAAUUCCAUGUGUAGCGGUGAAAUGCGCAGAGAUAUGGAGGAACACCAGUGGCGAAGGCGACUUUCUGGUCUGUAACUGACGCUGAUGUGCGAAAG
rnacentral:rRNA from 1 species